AGCAUUGCGCAGUGUCAGUCUCAUAGCCAAUGAGGUUUAGCCUAGGCGCAAUUAUUGCUAAUUGAAAACUUUUCCCAAUACCCUGCCAUGACAACUUGAAAUAUAGUCAGUGUUGGCAAUUUUUGUCAGUCUCUAUGGAGA
ensembl:snRNA U4 U4 spliceosomal RNA